UAAACAGGUUUUUUCCUUCCAGCCAAUCAGCUGGGACUCGGGAGGCAGUGAAAAAUUGGAGGCAGGGCCAAAUAAAAGGACAGAUGCCUUACCUCAGCAGACACCAGUGUGAAAAAAAAAUAAAUGAAGCCUGUGGCAAUACAGUUGCCAUACAGAAUGUAACUUCUGUUAGUCUUCUGCUAACAAAGGAUGCUACAUGGCUUUCGCUCAAGGACAGAAGGUUAAAACAACAAAUUAAAAGAAGCUAGACAGAGACAGAAUGGGGGGAUGGAGUGGAGUCCUAGCAAUGAAUUCUUUUAGCGGGGUAAUUUCCAAUCGGUCUGCUGUGAGAGAGAAAAAAAAACUAUUAACGAUGUCGUGAGAAAUAUAUUCAUUAAACAAUUAAAAGCUUCCUUUGAUCCUGACGAAGUGACCUUCAAUGGAUCCUGCCCACCGCUUUUAAUCAACUUUAAAGAAAAAAAAGAAAGAAAUCCAACUAUUUCUCUAGAUGGGGGCGAUUUCCUCAUUUCCCUCCCUCCCGAUGGAAAGAGGUGCCAGAAUGACUCCCUUCUGCAGUCAAUUAUCACGUUGUGUCUCGGUGUCUUUUGGUGAAAAACCGGAUAACGCAACAUGGGAACAAGGGAAUCAACUCGUGGCUUGGAUUUUACAGGGCGUGUUAACCAGCAGAUAAAAGUGGUAGUUAUAUAGAUAAAGAAUUCUUUCAAAGAGAUGCUACAGAGACGGUAUUUAUGUCUUCUGAAUCACUUCCAAAUUGGAACCUCUGGUUGAGUCUUUUCUGGAAAGAUUUGAUAUUCAUUGGGGAUGUUCGGAUAGUCCUUGGCCAAAGAACUUGACUAAUGUCCAAAUCUCCUUUUCUAAGAUGUAUUCCAGGUUCCACUCGGCUGCAGGCCAGCAUAAAAUACCAAAUCUGAAGCAUGCUGAAGACACCAACUUUGAAUUCUUCAUUCAUUUCACCUUAUUAUUUUAUACCGCACCUAUGUUUUAUUUUGGCCUUGACUGUAAAUUAAAUAAACAACUUGUAAAUGC